rnacentral:piRNA from 1 species
UGCUCAGGCAACCAUAUUUAUUUCAUGGG